UACAGAGUUCCAAAAGAUAGCCAUGGCCACUGCAAUAGGGUUUGCCAUCAUGGGCUUUAUUGGAUUCUUCGUUAAAUUGAUCCAUAUACCAAUCAACAACAUAAUUGUUGGGUCAUGAUUGUGUCAGCCGAGUGUGUUUCGUCUCCAUAGUCAUCAUAUUUCAUCAAACUUUUCCAUACUCUCAUUCAAAAUACCACUUGAAACAUGGAUUCUGCAUAAAAAAAUAACUGGUUUUAUAACAGCUAUGUGCCACAACACUUCCACAUACAUCAUGUUUUUUUUUGUUAAUUUAAAAAAAAAGUUAUUGAAAGAAACAAAGUUCUUAAGAUGUAAACGAAUGUUAAGAUAUUCAGGAAGAAAGAAGUAUUCAGUACUUGUUUUUUUUAUUAUUUUAUUUAGAAAACUGUAUAUUUAUUGUAAAUUUGUGUUCUAAAAAUAAAAGUUUUAUCAGACAA